CACGUAGGGGGCAAGCGUUGUCCGGAUUUAUUGGGCGUAAAGAGCUCGUAGGUGGUUCAGUAAGUCGGGUGUGAAACCUCCAGGCUCAACCUGGAGACGCCACCCGAUACUGCUGUGACUAGAGUCCAGUAGGGGAGCAUGGAAUUCCUGGUGUAGCGGUGAAAUGCGCAGAUAUCUGGAGGAACACCGGUGGCGAAGGCGGCGAUCCUGGACCGAGAUUGACGCUGAGGCGCGAAAGCUAGGG
rnacentral:rRNA from 1 species